GCCGGGGAAAUCCAAAUCCGUUAAUAGAUCUACAGUCUACCGCUUUAUCACUCAGCCACCUAGCA
rnacentral:tRNA from 1 species